rnacentral:rRNA from 1 species
AUUGAACGCUGGCGGCAGGCCUAACACAUGCAAGUCGAACGGUAACAGGAAGCAGCUUGCUGCUUUCCUGACGAGUGGCGGACGUGUGAGUAAUGUCUGUGAAACUGCGCGAUGGAGGGGGAUAACUACUGGAAACGGUUGCUAAUAACGUACAACGUCGCAAGAUCAAAGAGGGUGACCCUAGGGGCUCUUGCCUUCGGAUGGGCCCAGAUGGGUUUUUCUGGUAGUUGGGGCAACGGCUCACCACGGUGACGAUCCCUAGCUGGUUUGAGAGGAUGACAAGCACAACUGAACCGAAGAACCGGUCCAGACUCCUACGGAAGGCGGCAGUGGGAAAUAUUGAACAAUGGGGGAAAGCCUGACGCAGCCAGGCCGCGUGUAUGAAGAAGGCCUUCGGGUUGUAAAGUACUUUCAGCGGGGAGAAAGGGAGUAAAGUUAAUACCUUUGCUCAUUGACGUUACCAGCAGAAGAAGAACCGGCUAACUCCGG